rnacentral:lncRNA from 1 species
UUUAAAGUUUCUUUCUUCUUCCUUCCUUCUUUUCUUUCUUUUCUUUUUUCUUCCUUCUUUUCUUUCUUUUCUUCUUUUUUCCUUCCUUUGUUCUUUCAUCCUUUCCUUCCUUCCUUCCUUCCUUCCUUCCUUCCUUCCUUCCUUCCUUCCUUCCUUCCUUCCUUCCUUCCUUCCUUCCUUUCUUCCUUUCUUCCUUUCUUUCUUCCUUUCUUCCUUUUUCUUUCUUUCUUUCUUUCUUUCUUUCUUUCUUUCUUUCUUUCUUUCUUUCUUUCUUUCUUUCUUUCUUUCUUUCUCAUAAAAGUAGUAACACGUAAUAUCUUAAAGACUAUUGAUGUAUGUCAAUA